AUUACCCGAUGGUGUUGCGCGGUCAACGACCCAUCAGCCCAUUACAGCCUGAACGUCUGCACCAAAAGCCUCGCACCGAGACUGGUUCUCCUUGGCUUCCUCGACCUAUAUGCUGCCGCCGCCAUCCGCCGUUGCGGCCGCCACUGCUGCCAUCCGCCACUGCCGCUGCCGCCGCCAUCCGCUGCUGCCGCCAUCCGCCGUUGCCGCUGCUGCCGCCAUCCGUUGCUACGGACACCGCUGCCGCUGCCGCCGCCGUCAUGCGACGAUGCCUCCGCCGCCAAUUCCUUCAUGAUGCUCUGGGUGGUGCGCUCUAGCACUGCAUGUUCCCGCCGCCCCUAUCGUCCGUCGUCGUGCUGCGGUGCCUGCACUGGACGAGCGCCUUACGCUGGAGGCCAUGGUCGUGAGGCCCCAAGUGUACCUCACACUGUAGUCGCUCUAAUAAAAAGCCCACAUGCAUAAUCCAAUCGCCUGUUGCUAAUCCUUCUUCGUCUUACUUCAAUGUCAUCUUGAAGUUCAGAUUUCUAUCAACUGAUCUGAAAAAGGGUCACAGACUCACGAUUCAAUCCAGAAUCUCCCCAAUCCCUUUCUUUUUGGUCUUCAAUAACAACAUAUUUUGGGUUGUGACUAUGCAGCAUGCCAACAUAAAUAUUUUUAGACCAAUUUACUGAAUCAAUCUCACAAUGGUUGAUGCAAUGGCGGAUAAGGCGGCCGUCAUAGUCAGUGAUGUUGCCAACAGAAGGGGCUGCAGCGGACUGCUAGCGCCAGGAUCCCUACUCUAUUCUCCAUCCGUUCAAUUCAUCACAGAGCUGGUAGUCAGAUUUCAAAACUAUUGGCCAUACACAGUUAGCUUCAAGUACGAGCUGCACAUGCAUAAUAAUUUUUUUUGCAAACCUUUAUCCCUUAAAGGUACACUCCAUUUCUUUUUAUAUCACACAUAUGGUUUAUAUCAUUUGUUAUUGCCUAACUGUACACUAUAUGCAACUAUGCAAGUACUGCACUCCAGUUAAGAUUUUUUGCUGCUAACCAUGGUCACUGUUAUGUGUAAUAUUUUUGCAAGUAUGGUCAAUGCAUACUAUUUUGUGUAAUAUUUUUGUAGCUUGAGAGAAACUACGUGUAAGUAUCUUCAUCAUUCUUAGGAUGUUAAGUUUAGUGCCCUCGCUAGCCCUUUUAGUGCUUAGUUGCUGUUUCAACGGGGUAACUUCUUUUUCAUUCACGAAUGCCCAUGCUAGGAUGCAAUGUUAUAUAGGAUAGUUCUUCCAAGGGGGUCGUUAGAGAGGGAAAUUUGAAGAUGACAGUGUGUUGACUUUUUGAAAAUCACUAAUCGUCUACUGAAUAUUUUAACAUUCUAUCCUGCCCAUCGAAAUGCUUUGUAAUUUUUACUAUUCUAAUUAGAGACUUAUUUAAUUGGUGCUUCCUCAUUUAUCAACGUUGUUCAAACUAUCAAAUUAAUCUAUGUAAUUGAAAUAUGUUAACCAAACGAAUUAGAUAACUCUUGAAGUGGAAAAAUGACCCAACCUACACGAUUUUACUUAGGAAGUGAAUAUAUAAUUUACCUGUAGCAGUCGGAUGAAGCAUGAGAUGCGCUCAUAUGCCACGUGUGACGAGUCGUCCUCUCCUUGGUCUCUCCUGUUUUCCUUGAGGCAUUGUCCCCUUGGUUUCUCCUAUUUUGCUCUAUUGGGAAAAAAUGGAUCGUCAUCUCUCUGUCUCUCUGUAUGUCUCGACAACAAUAAACAGGAAAAGGAAAUUUGAUCGCAGGCUACUUAUAAAUUAGCUACUUUCAGCCCUCGAUGAACUGAGCCUAUAGAGCAUAAUCAUCUGUGCCGUUGCAGUCUUAAUUUCCAUCCCCUAAAAAGCGUCCCUCUUAUCGUGAUGUCAUUGUUCCCAGCCGGCAUCACUCCCCGAAAAGCUACUUCAUCAUACAUACAAUACAACGUUCUGAUGAUGCUGUUACAAUAUUGAUCUUGCACUGCACAUCUGUCCAAAGGAAUUGCAUCAUCAUCUUGCAUUGCAGAUCUAUCCGAAGGCGUCAUUGACAAGGGAGGACAUUGCUAGCCUGGGCGACUAGAUAGAUCCCUUCGUCGGUUUUGUAUUUUUUUGCCGUUUUCUUAUAGAAUAGUGGAUUAAUAUCCUCCUGUGUUUCUUAAUGAAUCUUUUAGUUUUGUAUCCAUAUAGUUGCAAACAAGCCUGACGAAAGAAGACAAGAUGCUAGACUAGCGUUUUAUACAAACACGAAAAUUGUUGCUUUGCAUUUCCCUGCAAAACAUGGAUGGGCACAUCUUCAUCCUAUUUUAUAUCAUUGUUUCAGUACACAUAGAGAUAUUGGUCUGGUCGCUUCUAUUCUGAUACAUCAAAUAUGUAAGUGAAACCCUUGAAGCGAAUGUCUUAUAUGAAUUCGUUAUUGCCUGACUACUUAAUAUUGGUGUCUAAAUAAUCUUGCCAUUUUCUAUUUGUUAUUUUGGUUUGCAAGCUAACCUUUUAACUGCUGAUGACUUUUUUGUUCUAAUAACAACAUAGGAGGUGGAUUUUGUACUAUUCUAAUUGAGAAAAUGCCUGUAAUGCAGAAUUGCAGUCUCAAGAAUGAAACUAAAGAAUGUGCGUCAUGAUGUUUUUCUUUAAGAUUAAUUUUAUAAUUUUAUAUGUCAUCUUCUUUUCGCUUCAGGUUUAGAAAUGUCCGUCUGCUACAUAAUGCAUGUGUUCAGCCUCAAAAUUUCAGUGUUAUUUCUACCAUAUUUACUAUUUGUUAGUAUUACUUCACAACACGUCAUUGGUAAAAGUGUACCGGAAAGAACAACUAAUCAAUAUUUUUGUGCUUUGAUGUUUUCCUGCUCUGUUCACAUGCUUCUUUAAUAGUUUCCAUUGGAUUACAGGCAUGAGCUUCUUUGUCUUUGUGGAGCUAGCAGAAAGCUAUUUGUGAUCAAUCAAAGAUAAUGAAAACAUUUACUCUAGAUUUUUAUUAGUGUGGAUCCUAUAAAAUACUAUGAUUGGAAGUCCAAUGGACAAUCUCAUUUUCUUAGUACUGGUAGUUCUAUCUGGAGUGCUUUUGCCUUCUAUAUGUACUGAAUUAAUAAAAUAGCACUUUUAGGAGAUGGUGCAGGGGUGCGAACAACUAAUCAUAGUAUUAGUAAAUCAUUGUAUACUAUCAGUUAUGCUUUUUUCAGACAUAAUACUAUUAUUUUGGGUCAUGACAUAAUGUUUCUCUCUCUUUCUCUUGGCAUGAGUGCCUGAGUUUUAGUAGAAGCCUUCAGGUUUGCAAGUUGAGAUUGAAGGUGUUUGAUUUUUGGAGGGCAAUAUCCAUCUAACACUAAAGGUAAAAUGUUCUUGAACUGAUGCCGCAUGGAUAAGAGAACUUAUUGUGCUACGUGAGAACUACAUUUGGCCUCUAAUAUGUAGCAUUAUUAUAGUUGAAUAUAGAGAAGAAAUUGUUACUAUAUUCUUUGCCUUUGAAUAAAUAACUACCAUAUUAGCUGGCCGCUCUAUCUAUACACAUAAGUAUAGUUCUUACCAUACACAGCAUCAUACGUGUAUUUCCCAUACAAAUGUUUGUUGAACCAAUCACGCUAUAUCUUGGAUUUGAUGUUUCCUCUAUACUGUGCUAUCUUCUUGCUGUUACAAUUGCAUCAAUGCAUAAUGAAAUCUUCAUGCCUUGACAACUUUUAGUAUAGUCAUGGUAUAUGGAAGCAAUAGGAAUUUGAGAGAAACUGGUGAAAUAUCACUUAAUAACACCUCACAUAACUUUUCUUUUUAUUGUCGAAUGUAUUUUGUUCUAGAUUACAUUUAUCGACAGAGACGAUGUUCAGAGAUUCAGGUUUUCUGAAGGCCUAGCAGAACAGAUAAAUACCAGGUACCAUGCUGCAGUGCUAUAGUUUUAUCGAUCAAAUUUUGGUUAUAUGAUUACUAAUUUAGUAAUUUUCGAUCCCAACAACUGAUAGUGAAGUAGUAGUGAUGUGUGCAUACUUACACCGUUACACCGAAACUAUAAGAAAGGCUACGAGCAUGAGAGCCUUGAACAUUUGUUGCCAAUAGCUUACGCUUUCAGCAUGGUACUAUAUCUGUAUAGUCUUACAAGAAACAACCAUUGACUCCCGAUAUCUAUAUUCUCAGUAUACAAAUGAUUAUCGUUGUUGCGGCUGAAUCUGUAUUCUCAGUAUACAAGUGAUUAUCAUUGUUGCUACUGAAGAUUUGGCAUUCGAAAUGACUUUCAGAAUUGAAUCUGUAAGAUUAUGCACCUGUAAUUUUAAUCUUUCACUCUCAAUAUGUAUUUGUAACAGUGAUUUACUCUUUGGAAGAACAUCUUUCCCUCAGAUAUUGUACUUCAUUAGCAAGAAUCCAUGAUUAGAAUGACUGGAUUUGUAAAUUAUCUUUAUAUUUCCUAAUUCAUCCAUGGGAGAUGAAAAAAAUAGUUUCAAAUAUUGAUACUCUUUUUUUACGAGUAAAAUAUUUAUAUUCUAUAAUAAAAAUAGGUUCAAAUAUUUAUAUUCUUUAAAUACUAUAAUCUAUAAUAAUGUGUUUUUGCUCUACUUUUCAGAUCACAAAACACUACGUAGAUUGGAAGGAAAAGACUCCUCAUUUACUCCCCAUGUUGAUUGCAUUAAGGAAUACAUAACACAUCAAUUUCAUUUUUGCUAAGAAUUGGCAAGAGCAGCAGCUUAUACCUAAUACAGGAAAUGGUGCUAUAAGUCUCAUGUCACCUGAAUGCACAUUAUUUUGAAAAUUCCCUAUAAAUGUAAAAAUAGACAACAAGUUGUCAUCUUGACCAGAGUUAUAGCUUCUGAGAUGUAUAACCAUGGGUACAUUCAAACACGUCAUCUGAUUCAACUUGAAGCGGCAUGGUUUGCUUAUUUAA